GCGUUGCUAGCAUUUUAACUAAAUCUUCUGGAAAUGUUUUCAAAGGUCCCUUCCAAUGUUAAAAUGCUGUCACUCUAAGAAAAUUAUACAAGUUAAGACAGAGUAUGUAGACUAUGACAGCAUGUGCUGAGGAAAUGAACGCGAGUCUUCUGUUGCCAUAUGUUGUUCUUGGCUUAACUAAUCAAUAGUGUUAUCAAUUAGCAUUCUGGCAUCAUUCCUUUAAGUGAAAAUAUAGUACUUUUAGUCAUAUCUUGCUUAGCUUUUUUUUUUCUUUUUACAUUUUUAUUGAUCAUUAAUCCCUCCAUCUUCCCUUCACCAAGACCCUUCUCAAUGAAGAAAAACUGUAUGAUAUAAAUCUAAUUAACCUUUUGGUUAUGAUUCAGUCUAGGAACGAGGAAAAAGACGUUUGUUUCCAAAAUGCUAUGAAAGCAUUUGAGAAGUUAACCAUGCUUUUAAACCAGAUAUAUCAAUGCAGUCUAAACCAGCUGAGGAAAAGAUGAAUGAAGACGGCUUGCUCACUCUUUUGUCCUUGACUAAAUAAAUGAUGCACUGACAUUGCA